GUGUCAGCAGCCGCGGUAAUACGGAGGAUACAAGCGUUAUCCGGAAUGAUUGGGCGUAAAGUGUCCGCAGGUGGCACAUCAAGUCUGCUGUCAAAGCCCCCAGCUUAACUGGGAAGAGGCGGUGGAAACUGGUGAGCUAGAGAGCAAUAGGGGUAGAGGGAAUUCCCGGUGUAGCGGUGAAAUGCGUAGAGAUCGGGAAGAACACCAGUGGCGAAAGCGCUCUACUAGGUUGCAACUGACACUGAGGGACGAAAGCUAGGGGAGCGAAUGGGAUUAGAUACCCCAGUAGUCCUAGCCGUAAACGAUGGAUACUAGGCGUUUCUCGUAUCGACCCGAGGAGUGCCGGAGCCAACGCGUUAAGUAUCCCGCCUGGGGAGUACGCACGCAAGUGUGAAACUCAAAUGAAUUGACGGGG
rnacentral:rRNA from 1 species